GACGAACGCUGGCGGCGUGCCUAAUACAUGCAAGUAGAACGCUGAAGAGAGGAGCUUGCUCUUCUUGGAUGAGUUGCGAACGGGGGAGUAACGCGUAGGUAACCUGCCUUGUAGCGGGGGAUAACUAUUGGAAACGAUAGCUAAUACCGCAUAACAAUGGAUGACACAUGUCAUUUAUUGGAAAGGGGCAAUUGCUCCACUACAAGAUGGACCUGCGUUGUAUUAGCUAGUAGGUGAGGUAAUGGCUCACCUAGGCGACGAUACAUAGCCGACCUGAGAGGGUGAUCGGCCACACUGGGACUGAGACACGGCCCAGACUCCUACGGGAGGCAGCAGUAGGGAAUCUUCGGCAAUGGGGGCAACCCUGACCGAGCAACGCCGCGUGAGUGAAGAAGGUUUUCGGAUCGUAAAGCUCUGUUGUAAGUCAAGAACGGGUGUGAGAGUGGAAAGUUCACACUGUGACGGUAGCUUACCAGAAAGAGACGGCUAACUACGUG
rnacentral:rRNA from 1 species